rnacentral:rRNA from 1 species
GUCUUUUUGAUUUUAAUUUAAAGUUUAACCUGCCCAUUGAAAAUUUUUAAAAGGCUGCGGUAUUUUGACYGUACAAAGGUAGCAUAAUCAUUAGUUUUUUAAUUGAAAACUUGUAUGAAUGGUUGAAUGAAAAAUUAACUUUUUUAAAAAAAUAAUUGAAUUUUACUUUUUAAUUAAAAGGUUAAAAUAAAUUUAAAAGACGAGAAGACCCUAUAGAGUUUUAUAAUUUUUAUUUAAUAUUUAAAAAGAUUAAUUAAAAUUUUAUAAAAGAAAAUAUUUUGUUGGGGUGAUAAUAAAAUUUAAAUAACUUUUAUUUUUUUUUUACAUUAAUAUAUGAAUUCAUGAUCCAUUAUUGAUGAUUAUAAAUUUAAAUUACCUUAGGGAUAACAGCGUAAUUUUUUUUUAAAGUUCAUAUUAAUAAAAAAUUUUGCGACCUCGAUGUUGGAUUAAGAUUUAAUUUUAGGUGCAGCAGUUUAAAUUUUAAGUCUGUUCGACUUUUAAAUUCUU